GUCGUCAAUUAGGCAGGGAAGCACCUGAGCGUGAUACAAGAUUAAGGAUCUCAAUUAGAGAGGGAACUUCUGAGCAGAAAAGCUGCUGCUGCCAGUGAGACUGAGGGAUUGCAGAGAGGGACUCCUUCCAGCAGACUGCUAAACUGGGGAACUGGGAAGAUUCCAAGGUCUCUUCUACCAGAGUGAAAUCCAAAAAGGCUGGCAAAAAACCAACUGUGCACUUAGAGGUUCCAUCCGCAGAAGGCAAAUGGAGUCCAUCGCCCCAGGGCAACAGGACUAAAACUAUGGUUUCCUCUCCGAAACAAUCCAGGAGACACUGAUAGUGGCAAAUACCAAGGGAUGGUUGGUGCUGAGCUGUUGGAGGACCUCUCCUUUCCGGCUGCCAUUUGAAAAUGUUGUUUCAUGUUUGCUGGCUUGUUCCUUGGUGAAGCACCUGUGGAUGAGUUGGGUCCAGGAGUCUGCAACACUAGGAAUGUUACAUGUGUGUAUUGCCUUUCAUUCUGAAUGACUCCAAAUUUUAUUGUGGAAAAACACUUCCAUUCUCUGCUGGCCAAUUUUGAAAGGAAGUGAGAACUGCUUCCUUCAUGAUGGCUCACAGAAAAAUGAAAGUUGCCUCUCAAGAGGGAGUACCAUGAAAUAAUGAUCUAAGUAUGGCCAUAGAAAGGGGAGACCUCCUGAGCUGUAAUCCCUUUAUUGAGCCCUGCUACACUGGACCACUGACUUACUGUUAAUUCAGCAGAAAAGGUGCAUGUGGUACUUGACAGACCCAUUUAAAGUCAGAGCUCCAUACCCCAAGGAAUUUACAGUCCAGCUAAAACUCUUUAGCUGGUGACUAAUCUCACUGAGCUACUACUUCAGUGGGGUUAUUCACAUGCUUGGAUUUAGGCACAUGCUUACAAUCUCUGUUCAGCAAGGUAUGUAAUGGUUAAUUCACUACAUUGAAACAUCACUUUAUGUGAAACAUACUAUAGUGCUAGCAUGGAAAUUAGCUGACCUUCCUUUUGUAAGGCCUGGGUCAUGUAUCUUUGUUCCUUGGCUCCUCCUGUGGAUGAUUCAGAUGGAAGAGCUCAGAACGUUGGCCUCGCCUGGUGCCUUUCUUGGCACUGCUGCAAAAGUGAGAAAACUAGGAGGAUUAUAGCUCCCUGAUCAGGUGAGUUUAUGCAGGCAAAAUAUUCACUCAAGCCUGAGUAAGGACCACAUGUUCAGGCCCUAUAAGAUUACUAGAUUAUUGGAUGUAAACUAUAAAACACAACUUGCACUGAUGUCAUGGUUAACAUGUAACCAGCUUUAUGGGUACCAGUUGGAGGUUCUUUUGCUGCUUGGCUACUUUGCUCCUUCUGAUUCAUGUAACCUUUGCUUUAUGUUAUGUAAUUCAUCCCUUGGUGUGUCAGUGGACCAUUAGGGCUGUUUGUGUUUGAAGGGCUUUCAUGCAUGUCUCCCUUACAGAGAAAGAAACAUUAAAAUAGUAGAAAAAACAAGG